GCGUGAUAAGGAAUAAAACUAUACUAAAUCUAUUUGUGCGCAUGCAUCAUGGGAAGAUUAUAUGCAUGUGAUUGUUCUGAAAUUAUUUGGUGGUGACUUUCUCGGUGGCAUUAGUUCCUUUGACUUGUGAUCAUUAUUUGCUUCGAUUGAUGAGUAUGGUUUAAUACACGCUUCUCUUUUCGUAUAUAUAUGUAACUGUCUGUGACAGCGUAGGUACAGUGAUUUGAACAGCGGAAAACUAGUUCGGAUUGAUAGAUUAAAAUGUGCUGGCUUAUAUGUACUAGUUAAAACAUGAGCAGCCGAUUUUUAUCUGAUAUACAAGCUCGAGCCGAAGGCGAGAGUUUGUAUAUGAGAUAAA